rfam:Astyanax mexicanus chromosome 3, whole genome shotgun sequence.
GGCUCCAUAGCUCAGUGGUUAGAGCACUGGUCUUGUAAACCAGGUUAGUUAGUUAACCAGGUGAGUUCAAUUCUCGCUGGGGCCU